GUGCUUGCUUCAGCAGCAUACGUACUAAAAUUGGAACAAUACAGAGAAGAUUAGCAUGGCUCCUGCGCAAGGAUGUUACUAUCUUUUAUUUGUUUUUUUUUUUUUUU